AAAUAGGCUAUUUGUUAGGUUCAUUACAUGUAGUUCAGUUGUUAGUUUCCUGGAUUUUAGCCUGAGAGAAUUACUGAAACAGAAAACUAAUCAUCCUACAAUUCAGCACAUGCUGUCAUGAAUGGAUGUUACAACAUUCAGUUUGACAACCAGAACAUAAACCUCAUGCUGAUUCAGUUAUGUCCCUGAAAACCGACUGUGCUAAAUUUGCUGUACUGCAACAGACUAACCAGUCUCUACUUCAGUAUCAGCAUACAUGACUAACUGUCAAGACAUCCAGUUUGACAGUUUCACAAUGAUCCUUUGCCCAGAUCUGUUAUCCUCUUGAUAACCAGACUGAAAUAAAUACUGAACUGAAGUAGAAAAACCAACCUGCCUAUUAUUCAGUAUAUGUUGUUAAUGAUGAAUGUCAAAACAUUCUGAUUGACAUUC
rnacentral:lncRNA from 1 species